AACAGCCUUUGUUAUUUGUUUGCAUCCUUUUAGAGCCUGUCUCUAUGAGUAACUGAAGAAUAUGUCUUUUUUUGUGCCAUGACAGGGUCUGGGGUGAGCCAUUGACACAGAUCAGUGCCAGCUUUAAGGCCCAGAGACAGAGGAAACAGAGGAAAGUCCAGGAGAUUCUGACUGGUCUGAAGCUGCCAUUCAGUCUUGUGGAUUGUGAGAUAGUGUAUUUGGUGUCUAAACGUGCUGCCAAGUUGUGUGCUGCUGGCCUGGCAACCAUCGGCAACUGUAUCCGUGGCAACCGUGGACUGGACAAGCUAUGCAUCAAUGUGGGGGUGGAUGGCUCUGUCUAUACAGAACACCCCAAGUUUAGUGAGCGGCUGAAGGAGACUGUGUCCAUCCUGGCCCCAAAAUGUAAACUCACUUUCUAUGUCUAGGAUGGCAGCAGGAGAGGGGCAACCAUAUUGGCAGCCAUGACUCAGGGGCGGGCCGAUCAACCUAAGCAAGCCCUCGUGAUGGAGAGGAGGAUGAAGGGAACACACAGGGGGAAAUGAAUCUAUGUAUUGCAACAUUUUAUUGUUAUAAUGAAAAAUGUGCUAACCCUUUAUAUGCACUUUAUGUAACACUACACUAUAAUACAGCAUAUACUUUUUUUAACGCGUCAUAUGCACUUUAUAUGCGUACAUGUACAAUGUAUUAUUAUGUGGUCAUUAUUAUGUGGUCAUAAUACAUACAGACUUGUCAUAAUUAUUUAUGAACUGCUUUUAAUGUAAAACAAUCAAAACAGGGGAAAAUAAUUAAGGAAAAUAUUUUUUAA